rnacentral:rRNA from 1 species
CAGCAGCCGCGGUAAUACGUAGGGGGCAAGCGUUGUCCGGAAUCAUUGGGCGUAAAGCGCGUGUAGGCGGCUCGAUAAGUCUGCUGUGAAAGUCCAGGGCUCAACCCUGGAAUGCCGGUGGAAACUGUCGAGCUCGAGUCCGGAAGAGGCAAGUGGAAUUCCUGGUGUAGCGGUGAAAUGCGCAGAUAUCAGGAGGAACACCAAUGGCGAAGGCAGCUUGCUGGGACGGUACUGACGCUGAGACGCGAAAGCGUGGGGAGCAAACAGGAUUAGAUACCCGCGUAGUCCCUGUCUCUUAUAC